AGCGAACGCUGGCGGCAGGCCUAAUACAUGCAAGUCGAGCGCCCCGCAAGGGGAGCGGCAGACGGGAGAGUAACACGUGGGAACGUGCCCUUCAGUUCGGAACAACCAAGGGAAACUUUGGCUAAUACCGCAUAAACUCGAGAGAGUAAAGUUGCCUUGGAGUGAUCCGAGGUGACACUUGAGGAGGGGCCUGCGUCCGA
rnacentral:rRNA from 1 species